GCUUUAUAUUUUUAGAUUAUUAUUUAUUUAGAUAAAUUUUUUUAAUAGUUGAAUAAAUAUUUUGUUGGGGUGACAGGAAGAUAUAAAAAACUCUUUUUAGUUUAUUUACAUUGAUAUAUGAAUUGUUGAUCCAUUAUUAUUGAUUAUAAGACUAAGU
rnacentral:rRNA from 1 species